rnacentral:rRNA from 1 species
AUUCUCAGUUCGGAUUGUAGGCUGAAACUCGCCUACAUGAAGCUGGAGUUACUAGUAUCGCAGAUCAGAAUGCUGCGGUGAAUGCGUUCCCGGGUCUUGUACACACCGCCCGUCACACCACGGAAGUUGGGGGCGCCCGAAGCCACUUAGCUAACCCUUUUGGGAAGCGAGUGUCGAAGGUGAAAUCAAUAACUGGGGUGAAGUCGUAACAAGGUACC